ACAGCAGUAGCCGCGGUAAUACAGAGGGUGCGAGCGUUAAUCGGAUUUACUGGGCGUAAAGCGUGCGUAGGCGGCUAAUUGAGUCGGAUGUGAAAUCCCCGAGCUUAACUUGGGAAUUGCAUUCGAUACUGGUUAGCUAGAGUGUGGGAGAGGAUGGUAGAAUUCCAGGUGUAGCGGUGAAAUGCGUAGAGAUCUGGAGGAAUACCGAUGGCGAAGGCAGCCAUCUGGCCUAACACUGACGCUGAGGUACGAAAGCAUGGGGAGCAAACAGGAUUAGAUACCCGAGUAGUCCCUGUCUCUUAUAC
rnacentral:rRNA from 1 species